GUAGGGUGCAAGCGUUAAUCGGAAUUACUGGGCGUAAAGCGUGCGCAGGCGGUUUUGUAAGUCUGAUGUGAAAUCCCCGGGCUCAACCUGGGAAUUGCAUUGGAGACUGCAAGGCUAGAAUCUGGCAGAGGGGGGUAGAAUUCCACGUGUAGCAGUGAAAUGCGUAGAUAUGUGGAGGAACACCGAUGGCGAAGGCAGCCCCCUGGGUCAAGAUUGACGCUCAUGCACGAAAGCGUGGGGGGAGCAAACAGGAUUAGACACCCUGGUAGUCCACGCCCCUAAACGAUGUCUACUAGUUGUCGGGUCUUAAUUGACUUGGUAACGCAGCUAACGCGUGAAGUAGACCGCCUGGGAGUACGGUCGCAAGAUUA
rnacentral:rRNA from 1 species